rnacentral:rRNA from 3 species
UUACAACUUUCAACAACGGAUCUCUUGGUUCUGGCAUCGAUGAAGAACGCAGCGAAAUGCGAUACGUAGUGUGAAUUGCAGAAUUCAGUGAAUCAUCGAAUCUUUGAACGCACAUUGCGCCCUUUGGUAUUCCAAAGGGCAUGCCUGUUCGAGCGUCAUUU